GACGAACGCUGGCGGCGUGCUUAACACAUGCAAGUGGAGCGACGAACCAGGGCUUGCCCUGGGGCAGAGCCGCGAACGGGUGAGUAACACGUGGGUAACGUGCCCCGAUGACUGGGACAACCCGGGGAAACCCGGGCUAAUACCGGAUGUGCCCCCUCACAUCAGUGAGGUGUGUAAAGGAAGCUUCGGCCUCCGCAUCGGGAUCGGCCCGCGGCCCAUUAGCUUGUUGGUGAGGUAACGGCUCACCAAGGCUGCGAUGGGUAGCUGGUCUGAGAGGACGAUCAGCCACACUGGGGCUGAGACACGGCCCAGACUCCUACGGGAGGCAGCAGUGGGGAAUCUUGCGCAAUGCGCGAAAGCGUGACGCAGCAACGCCGCGUGGGGGAAGACGGCCUUCGGGUUGUAAACCCCUUUCAGUUGGGACGAAGGUCGGGCGGUUAACAGCCGUUCCGGCUGACGGUACCUUCACAAGAAGCCCCGGCUAACUACGUG
rnacentral:rRNA from 1 species